GCUAAGAAUAUUCCGCAAUGGACGAAAGUCUGACGGAGCGACGCCGCGUGGAUGACGAAGGCCGAAAGGUUGUAAAGUCCUUUUGUCGAUGAAGAAUAAGUGCGGUAGGGAAUGACCGUAUGAUGACGUUAGUCGGCGAAUAAGCCCCGGCUAAUUACGUGCCAGCAGCCGCGGUAACACGUAAGGGGCAAGCGUUGUUCGGAAUUAUUGGGCGUAAAGGGUACGUAGGCGGUUAUGUAAGCCCGGCGUGAAAUCCUGCAGCUUAACUGUAGAGCUGAGCUGGGAACUGCAAAACUCGAGUCAUGGAAGGGAAGUUAGAAUUCCAGGUGUAGGGGUGAAAUCUGUAGAUAUCUGGAAGAAUACCGGUGGCGAAGGCGAACUUCUGGCCAAUGACUGACGCUGAGGUACGAAAGUGCGGGGAGCAAACAGGAUUAGAUACCCUAGUAGUCC
rnacentral:rRNA from 1 species